UGGGGAAUAUUGCACAAUGGGGGAAACCCUGAUGCAGCAACGCCGCGUGAAGGAAGACGGUUUUCGGAUUGUAAACUUCUUUUCUUAGUGAAGAAGAAAGUGACGGUAGCUAAGGAAUAAGCAUCGGCUAACUACGUGCCAGCAGCCGCGGUAAUACGUAGGAUGCAAGCGUUAUCCGGAUUUACUGGGUGUAAAGGGAGCGCAGGCGGGACUUCAAGUUGGAUGUGAAAUACCGGGGCUCAACCCCGGAGCUGCAUCCAAAACUGUAGUUCUUGAGUGGAGUAGAGGCAAGCGGAAUUCCGAGUGUAGCGGUGAAAUGCGUAGAUAUUCGGAGGAACACCAGUGGCGAAGGCGGCUUGCUGGGCUCUAACUGACGCUGAGGCUCGAAAGUGUGGGGAGCAAACA
rnacentral:rRNA from 1 species